ensembl:lncRNA
UUACAAUCUACAGGUAAAGCAGGCUGGGAACGUCAGGUGACGUCCUAGGGGAGGGGGUACUGUCACGAUCCUCAUUCAUGUCUCCACGUCCUAGUUGGUUUACCGUCUUCCGUGUUCGUGUGCUGGAUUGUGUUCGUGUUGUCGUCUUCGUGUCAGUGUUCCGGUCUGUUCCUGGUUUCAUCCAUUGACCGUCUUCACCUUCACCUGCGACUUCACCAUCCAGCUCUUCUCACGCCACCGUAGACCUUCGUUUCCAUUGCCUACAUUCUGGACUCUGAUAUCAAUAAACUUCUUCUGAUUGCCUGCAAUUGCUUCCUCCUCUUUUAC